rnacentral:lncRNA from 1 species
UUUACUUGUUCUGGAAAAUAUGAAGUUCAUGAAAAGCUACUUAAAAUCUGUAAAAUAUUAUGAAUAAUAUUAAAAAUAUUCCUUGCCCUGUUUAGAGCAAUAUAUUUUGAUCCCUGCCAUUUCUUCUUCCACUCAAAUCUCUCUGAUUAAUUUGUGAAGCUCUCAUAAUGGCAUUGAACAAAGUACUUUGUGAAGAACAUUUAUUUCCUAUGCAGGUGGCUAAGAGUGUAAAGAUUGUGAUGG